UUCCUAUAGUUGAGAAGGACAACGGUGGUUUUUCAGACCUCAGGUCUUGGAUAGAAGCCAAGUAGGAAUU
rnacentral:tRNA from 4 species